UCAUAUUCAUCAAUUAAAAAUAAAAAUAAAAAACCUAAAAAAGGUUUUUCUCUCUAUGGUCUCUCUCGCCGUCUUCAAAUUCUUUUCCAGAGUUCAUCACACAACAGCUUUGAUUCGGCGAAAUUAAACACGAAUUAUCUCUCUGGUGGAGUCGGCGGGUUAUUUGUUGCCUCUUUUUUUCUUCUCAAUCUCUUUGUUCCUUCUAAACCCUAAUCUCUCUUUUGAUUCUUCUACAUCAAAUCCAAUUCUUCUGUUCAUGACCAUUUCAUAGUCUUUGUUUCUGUCAAGGGAGCCAUUGAGCCAGUUCGACGUUGGGGACUGAUUGAGUGUCGGUAAAUAAUCGACUUAUGGAACUUUCAUGUGAAAGCUAAUUUCUUCCACGGAUCAAGUUGCAGAGAGAAUGUUGUGGCUGGUGAUUUUACUGCUGAUAUGGGUGGCAGAUUUCUUCAUCUCCUUCUGUGAGAAACUGGAUGAAUCUUCCUCUACGAAGUGUUUGGCUAAGACACCAAAGAAAAAUAACAAAUCACUAUGGUUCUUCUCUGGCCAUCAUCAUGAUUUUAAGAUGAUAAACUCAUGCUCAUAAAUCAUCAUCUCUCCCGUCACGUAGUGUACUCAUCAACGACACAGCGGAUCAAGCUAGACCAUGGAGAACGCAGCUGAUUUACUAUGCGAUGACGGUGGAAUCCUUAGAACAGAGGAGUUAUUCUGGGGCGAUUAGCAUAUCAUUUUCCAGUUUAUUGUUGGGAAAGUAAUAUAUUUUACUCAUUGAUAGAUAGAUCUUAGGGAUUGAUUUCUUAACUUUAAUGGGGAACCUUUAGGUUGACGGUGAAAAUGUUAGCAAGGAUGAAGAUUGCCAGUUGAUGGCAAUAGAACCCAAGUUGUAGCUGGUGACAAUGGAACCUCUGAUCGAAGUGACAAGAAGCUAUCUGGACAGCAUCGUGGAGAUUGGUCCCGGAGGGAUGCAGAACAACGAGGGACCAAGAAGGAUUUUGAAGCUUUUGCAUUGCCGGAGCCUGCACCAAUUAAGAAUGAGAAUCCUAAAUUGGUUAAUAGGAACAUAAGAAUGCUCGCUUCUAACAUAACCAACAAUCUCUUUGUUAUAUACAUUUCUUUAAAAUGCUGAUUCUAACAUAACCCAUUUUUUGCAGUUUGUACAAGUCCUCAGACGUGCAUUAGAAUAUAUGUGAUAUAUUCAAACAGGGAAUCAUGAAGGCGUUUAGGAGAACGAAGCAAGAGUACUUGGUUGAUUCUUUGAAAGGGGAGCUCAUUAUAGACCCAACACAACAGUUUUGUAGUGAGCUGGAACAAAUAACAGAGAUCUCAAAUCAAGAUGAACUCGAUAAAUGCAGCCAUAGACAGACGAAUCUCAGAUAGUUGGCGUUUUAGGUUUCAGCACCAAAACCAAACCCGUGGCGAAGUUAAAGGCGGUAAGGAAGGGGCUUUGUUACUACAACUCUUCACUCACUUUUGUUCAGAUUUUCAGAAGCUGAAUUUAUGAUCUGACUUAAAGCUAUCACUUUCUGUUGUAUUCUUUAGCUAAACGUGAGUUAGUUUACCAUUGCAUUGUUUUAGGAGAUCGCAGAGAUGUUUCUUUCAAAAGUUUGAGUCUUUCUUUCUUUUUAUGUCCUUGGGAGACUUCAAGAACCUUGGUCUCUUUUUGUUCUGAAAUCUGAAUUGAUCAAGUAUUAUAUA